GUAGUCCGCACGAGCGCACCCUCGCCCUUAUUGCCAGCAUUAAGUUGGGCACUCUAUGGGGACUGCCGGUGAUAAGCCGGAGGAAAGUGGGGAUGACGUCAAGUCAUCAUGUCCCUUACGGGCUGGGCUACACACGUGCUACAAUGGUGGUGACAGAGGGCAGCUACUUCGCGAGAAGAUGCUAAUCCCCAAAAGCCAUCUCAGUUCGGAUUGCACUCUGCAACUCGGGUGCAUGAAGUCGGAAUCGCUAGUAAUCGUGGAUCAGCAUGCCACGGUGAAUACGUUCCCGGGCCUU
rnacentral:rRNA from 1 species